rnacentral:rRNA from 1 species
UACGAAGGGGGCUAGCGUUGCUCGGAAUCACUGGGCGUAAAGGGUGCGUAGGCGGGUCUUUAAGUCAGGGGUGAAAUCCUGGAGCUCAACUCCAGAACUGCCUUUGAUACUGAAGAUCUUGAGUCCGGGAGAGGUGAGUGGAACUGCGGAGUGUAGAGGUGAAAUUCGUAGAUAUUCGCAAGAACACCAGUGGCGAAGGCGGCUCACUGGCCCGGUACUAGACGCUGAGGCACGAAAGCGUGGGGGAGCAACAGG